UCCAAUCUGCUCACUGAAAUUUUAAAGAGCCGCAGUAUAUUGACUGUGCAAAGGUAGCAUAAUCAAUAGUUUUUUAAUUGAGAACUUGUAUGAAAGAUUAGACGAGAAAUUUAUUUUCUUUAUUUUAUAUAAUUAAAUUUUAAUUUUAAGUGAAAAUGCUUAAGUAAAUUUAAAAGACGAGAAGACCCUAUAGAUUUUUAUUAUUUAAAUAAAUUUAAUAAAAAAUUUAGUAAAAUAAUUUCAUUGGGGUGAUUUUGUAAUAAAAAAAACUUAAUUAAAAAAAACCAUAAAUAAUUGAAAUUUUUGAUCUAAAAUUUUUAAAGAAAAGAUUAAAUUACCUUAGGGAUAACAGCGUAAUUUUUUUUAAGAGUUCAUAUCUAUAAAAAAGUUUGCGACCUCGAUGUUGAAUUAAGAUAAAAUAUUGAAGUAG
rnacentral:rRNA from 1 species